rnacentral:rRNA from 1 species
UACGUAGGGUGCGAGCGUUGUCCGGAAUUAUUGGGCGUAAAGAGCUUGUAGGCGGUUUGUUGCGUCUGCCGUGAAAAUUCGAGGCUCAACCUCGAACUUGCGGUGGGUACGGGCAGACUAGAGUGUGGUAGGGGAGACUGGAAUUCCCGGUGUAGCGGUGAAAUGCGCAGAUAUCGGGAGGAACACCGGUGGCGAAGGCGGUUCUCUGGGCCUUACCUGACGCUGAGGAGCGAAAGCGUGGGGAGCGAACAGG